GGUCCGAACCCACGAGCGUUGAAAAGCUCGGGGAUGACUUGUGGGUAGCGGUGAAAUUCCAAUCGAGCCCGGAGAUAGCUGGUUCUCCCCGAAAUAGCUUUAGGGCUAGCCUCAAGGUGAGAGAUACGGAGGUAGAGCACUGAAUGUCCUAGGGGGUAUUGCACCUACCGAAGACUAUCAAACUCCGAAUGCCGUCAUCUUAUACUUGGGAGUCAGACUGUGGGUGAUAAGAUUCAUAGUCGAAAGGGCAACAGCCCAGAUCGUCAGCUAAGGUCCCUAAAUGUAAGUUAAGUGGUAAAGGAUGUGGGAUUGCACAGACAACCAGGAUGUUGGCUUAGAAGCAGCCACUCAUUCAAAGAGUGCGUAAUAGCUCACUGGUCGAGUGAUCCUGCGCCGAAGAUUUCCGGGGCUAAAACUUACUACCGAAGCUACGGCAUCAGUAAUGAUGGGUAGGGGAGCUUCCCAUACGGGUUGAAGCAUGACCGUAAGGACAUGUGGACAGUAUGGGAGUGAGAAUGUUGGCAUGAGUAGCGAGAUGUGGGUGAGAAUCCCACAGGCCGUAAACCCAAGGUUUCCAGGGGAAGGUUCGUCCGCCCUGGGUUAGUCGGGACCUAAGCUGAGGCCGAAAGGCGUAGGUGAUGGACAACAGGUUGAUAUUCCUGUACUACCGAUAACCGUUUGAGAGAAGGGAUGACACAGUAGGAUAAGCUAAGCACACUGUUGGUUAUGUGUGCCCAAGCAUUGAGGCAGUCAAAGUAGGCAAAUCCGCUUUGAUAAUGCUGGGAUGUGAUGGGGAGCGAAAUUUAGUAGCGAAGUAGCUGAUUUCACACUGUCAAGAAAAGUCUCUAUCGAGGUUAAAGGUACCCGUACCGCAAACCGACACAGGUGGGUGAGGAGAGUAUCCUAAGGCCAGCGAGAGAACUGUUGUUAAGGAACUCGGCAAAAUGACCCCGUAACUUAGGGAUAAGGGGUGCCACCAUUAGGUGGCCGCAGAGAAUAGGCCCAAGCGACUGUUUACCAAAAACAUAGGUUUCUGCUAAGUCGCAAGACGAUGUAUAGGAGCUGACGCCUGCCCGGUGCUGGAAGGUUAAGGGGAUCUGUUAGAGUAAUCGAAGCAGUGAACUUAAGCCCCAGUAAACGGCGGCCGUAACUAUAACGGUCCUAAGGUAGCGAAAUUCCUUGUCGGGUAAGUUCCGACCCGCACGAAAGGCGUAACGAUUUGGGCACUGUCUCAACAACAGACUCGGUGAAAUUGUAAUUCCGGUGAAGAUGCCGGAUACCUGCGACAGGACGGAAAGACCCCAUGGAGCUUUACUGUAGCUUGACAUUGGGUCUUGGUACUACAUGUACAGGAUAGGUGGGAGGCUUUGAAACCAGGACGCCAGUUUUGGCGGAGCCAUCCUUGGGAUACCACCCUUGUAGUACUGGGACUCUAACCAUAGGCCAUGAAUCUGGUCUUGGGACACUGUCAGGUGGGCAGUUUGACUGGGGCGGUCGCCUACCAAAAGGUAACGGAGGCGCUCAAAGGUUCUCUCAGUACGGUCGGAAAUCGUACGUAGAGUGUAAAGGCAAAAGAGAGCUUGAUUGCAAGACAUACAGGUCGAGCAAGGAUGAAAAUCGGACUUAGUG
rnacentral:rRNA from 1 species